UACAGAGGUGGCGAGCGUUAUUCGGAAUUAUUGGGCGUAAAGGGCGCGUAGGCGGCCAAGCAAGUCCUGGGUGAAAUCCCUCGGCUCAACCGAGGAACUGCCUCGGAAACUGCAUGGCUCGAGGCCGGGAGAGGGUAGCGGAAUUCCCAGUGUAGCGGUGAAAUGCGUAGAUAUUGGGAGGAACACCGGUGGCGAAGGCGGCUACCUGGACCGGUUCUGACGCUGAGGUGCGAAAGCGUGGGGAGCAAACAGG
rnacentral:rRNA from 1 species